AAAAAAAAUAGGCAAGACAGGAGUUUUGAGUAAAAAAAAAAGGCAGGAUGAGACAAUUGCCAAAAAAAAAAAAAUCAGGACGACAAUUUAGGUAAAAAAAAGGUCAGGAUAAACUAAAAAAAAAAGCAGGACCAAACAGAGUGAAAAAUAAAAAGGCAAGACAGAGAUUACAGCUAAAAAAAAAUGCAGGACAAAAUUUUUCAUCCUAGCCCCCCCCCC
rnacentral:lncRNA from 1 species